CCUACGGGCGGCAGCAGUGGGGAAUAUUGCACAAUGGGGGAAACCCUGAUGCAGCGACGCCGCGUGAGUGAAGAAGUAUCUCGGUACGUAAAGCUCUGUCAGCAGGGAAGAAAAUGACGGUACCUGACUAAGAAGGCCCGGCUAACUACGUGCCAGCAGCCGCGGGAAUACGUAGGGGGCAAGCGUUAUCCGGAUUUACUGGGUGUAAAGGGAGCGUAGACGGCAGGACAAGUCUGGAGUGAAAUCGCGGGGUUUAACCCCGGAACUGCUUUUGAAACUGUGCGGCUGGAGUGCAGGAGGGGUAAGCGGAAUUCCUGGUGUAGCGGUGAAAUGCGUAGAGAUUAGGAGGAACACCGGUGGCGAAGGCGGCUUACUGGACUGUAACUGACGUUGAGGCUCGAAAGCGUGGGGAGCAAACAGGAUUAGAUACCCCAGUAGUC
rnacentral:rRNA from 1 species